UUGCUUCAGCAGCACAUAUAUUAAAAUUGGAAUAAUACAGAGAAGAUUAGCAUGGCCUCCGGGCAAGGAUGACAUGCAAAUUCAUGAAGCAUUCCAUAUUUAA
ensembl:snRNA U6 U6 spliceosomal RNA